AGUGAGCGCUGGCGGUAGGCCUAACACAUGCAAGUCGAACGGCAGCACAGUAAGAGCUUGCUCUUACGGGUGGCGAGUGGCGGACGGGUGAGGAAUACAUCGGAAUCUACUUUUUCGUGGGGGAUAACGUAGGGAAACUUACGCUAAUACCGCAUACGACCUACGGGUGAAAGCAGGGGAUCUUCGGACCUUGCGCGAUUGAAUGAGCCGAUGUCGGAUUAGCUAGUUGGCGGGGUAAAGGCCCACCAAGGCGACGAUCCGUAGCUGGUCUGAGAGGAUGAUCAGCCACACUGGAACUGAGACACGGUCCAGACUCCUACGGGAGGCAGCAGUGGGGAAUAUUGGACAAUGGGCGCAAGCCUGAUCCAGCCAUACCGCGUGGGUGAAGAAGGCCUUCGGGUUGUAAAGCCCUUUUGUUGGGAAAGAAAAGCAGCAGGUUAAUACCCUGCUGUUCUGACGGUACCCAAAGAAUAAGCACCGGCUAACUUCGUG
rnacentral:rRNA from 1 species